CUUCAGCAGUCCAGAAUAUUAGUCAAUGCUCGAAAGAGUGAACUAGCUAACUGAAAUCAAUUAAAUAAUUGAUAACAUAAGGGAAAAUAAUGAUAUUACCUUAUUAUUAGUGUCGUCCAAAUCUGGUGCCAGAAGACUCGGUAAGGCCAGAGACACAAACGUUAAUCGUCUUAAUCAGGCGUAAAGGGUUUGUAGGCUGCUUUUAAUAUAAUUAUUUAUUAAAUAAUUUAAAAAUAAAAGCUAGAAUCAAAAAUAGGAUAAAUUAAAGAACGUUUAUAGUAGGUCUGAUAUCCUAACAUAAUAAAUAGAAUAUUAAAGGCGAAGGCUUUUUUCCAUUUAAGAUUGACGCUAAGAAACGAAGGUGAGGAUAGGAAAUAGGAUUAGAUACCCAAAAUACCCCUCUCUGUAAACGAUGAAUGGUAGUAAUUAAAAUUAAAUAUUAAUUACAAUGUUAACACGAUAACCAUUCCGCCUUGUAAGUACGACUGCAAAGUUGAAAACAAAAAAAUUAGUCGGUUUCGGAGCAAACGAAGUGGAGCAUGUUAUUUAAUUCGAUAAUCCGCAAAAC
rnacentral:rRNA from 1 species